rnacentral:rRNA from 1 species
GACGAACGCUGGCGGCGUGCUUAACACAUGCAAGUCGAACGGAAAGGCCAUGCUCGCAGGGUACUCGCGUGGCGAACGGGUGAGUAACACGCGGGUGAUCUGCCCUGCACUUAGGGAUAAGCUUGGGCAACUGGGCCUAAUACCGGAUAGGUAACAUCUUUAGCGUGGUGGUUGGAAAGUUUUUUCGGUGUAGGAUGAGAUCGCGGCCUAUCAGCUCGUUGGUGGGGUAAUGGCCUACCAAGGCGGCGACGGGUAGCCGGCCUGAGAGGGUGUACGGCCACAUUGGGACUGAGAGACGGCCCAGACUCCUACGGGAGGCAGCAGUGGGGAAUAUUGCACAAUGGGCGCAAGCCUGAUGCAGCGACGCCGCGUGGGGGAUGAAGGCCUUCGGGUUGUAAACUCCUUUCGCUAGGGACGAAGCUUUUUGUGACGGUACCUAGAUAAGAAGCACCGGCUAACUACGUG